AUGAACGCUGGCGGCGUGCCUAAUACAUGCAAGUCGAGCGAACGGACGAGAAGCUUGCUUCUCUGAUGUUAGCGGCGGACGGGUGAGUAACACGUGGAUAACCUACCUAUAAGACUGGGAUAACUUCGGGAAACCGGAGCUAAUACCGGAUAAUAUUUUGAACCGCAUGGUUCAAAAGUGAAAGACGGUCUUGCUGUCACUUAUAGAUGGAUCCGCGCUGCAUUAGCUAGUUGGUAAGGUAACGGCUUACCAAGGCAACGAUGCAUAGCCGACCUGAGAGGGUGAUCGGCCACACUGGAACUGGGACACGGUCCAGACUCCUACGGGAGGCAGCAGUAGGGAAUCUUCCGCAAUGGGCGAAAGCCUGACGGAGCAACGCCGCGUGAGUGAUGAAGGUCUUCGGAUCGUAAAACUCUGUUAUUAGGGAAGAACAUAUGUGUAAGUAACUGUGCACAUCUUGACGGUACCUAAUCAGAAAGCCACGGCUAACUACGUG
rnacentral:rRNA from 1 species